GGAGGGGUGGCCGAGUGGUUAAAGGCGACGGACUGUAAAUCCGUUCUUUCGAGUACGAAGGUUCGAAUCCUUCCCCCUCCACCA
rnacentral:tRNA from 2 species